UAACAUAUGUAGACCUUAAAGACGGAGAAA
rnacentral:piRNA from 1 species